rnacentral:tmRNA from 2 species
GGGGGCGUAAAGGUUUCGACGGGGAUGUCGACGACUGAGCUGCGUGUCGUGGCGCCCAUGGCCACGUAAAAAUGGGCAACCCUGCAACUGCGAACGACAACGCUGUUGCUCUCGCGGCCUGACCUAGUCAGGACCACGACGGCUGCGUAGGCUUCCGCCUGGAGCCCGCGUAGCCGCAACAAUCAGGCUGGCCGUCCGGGAACGACGAUCGUCCGGGCGGCGAGAUAAAGGAUCGACUCGCGCUGGUGAUGGCUGCCAUCCACCUCUCACCAGGGCCAGACAAGACGAGCGAUGGCUACGCACGUAGUAGCUCAGCCUGAAGCAUUCUCGGACGCGGGUUCGAUUCCCGCCGCCUCCACCC